ACAGCCAACAAAUGCCAAAAUUUAACAAGAUGGUCGCGACAUAAUAUAUCUUCGCUACGUUACAUAAAAAGCCGUGUCCGGUUCGUCCAUUUACCAAAAGAAACAACUAUAACAUUGUAUAGUGCAGCGAACAGGCGACCCUUUGUGGCGAGAGGAUAAAUCUCGCAGGAUGCCAGCCGCUCCGGGGCCAGAAUAUGAAAUAUGUUGAUGUAAACGGCAAACUGCUUCCGUGUUGUGUCAGUCACUGGAAAAACAAUUAAAAUUGUAACCAAAGAAAAAAUGGCGCCGAAAAUGUAAUUUCAAACAGUAAUCUUCAAACCAUAUGUAAUAGCACAUUGGAUGGUAUCGUAAGCUGGUUCAGCGUAAAACAGACGGAUGCUUGGCCUCAGGCGUGUGAGCUGCGGAAUAUAAUUCACCAUGAGAUGAAUUUCAACGAACUGAAAAGUAACGAAAUAUAAUAUAAUAUAAUAAUAUAAUAUAUCCUGGGACAACUCA